rnacentral:rRNA from 1 species
ACGCUGGCGGCGUGGAUUAGGCAUGCAAGUCGAACGGUAGAGUUCCUUCGGGAGCUUGAGAGUGGCGAACGGGUGAGUAACGCGUAGGUUAUCUACCCUCAAAAUUGGGGACAACCCAGGGAAACUUGGGCUAAUACCGAAUGAGAGCAUCUGUAAUGGAUGUUUAAAAGAUGGCAGUAAUGCUGUUGUUUGAGGAUGAGCCUGCGUCCCAUUAGUUAGUUGGUAAGGUAAUGGCUUACCAAGGCGAUGAUAGGUAGGCGGCCUUAACGGGUGGUCGCCCACACUGGGAUUGAGAUACGGCCCAGACUCCUACGGGAGGCAGCAGUCGAGAAUAGUCUACAAUGGUCGAAAGACUGAUAGUGCGACGCCGCGUGAACGAAGAAGCCCUUCGGGGUGUAAAGUUCUUUUAUAUGUGAGCAAUGCCUUUUAUGUGAAUAGCAUGAGAGGAGCGAUAUUAGCAUAUGAAUAAGCAACGGCUAACUCCGUG